UACGGGGGGGGGCAAGCGUUGUUCGGAAUUACUGGGCGUAAAGGGCUCGUAGGCGGCCAACUAAGUCAGACGUGAAAUCCCCAGCUCAACCUGGGAACUGCGUCUGAUACUGGAUGGCUUGAAUUCGGGAGAGGGAUGCAGAAUUCCAGGUGUAGCGGUGAAAUGCGUAGAUAUCUGGAGGAAUACCGGUGGCGAAGGCGGCAUCCUGGACCGACAUUGACGCUGAUGAGCGAAAGCUAGGGGAGCAAACGGG
rnacentral:rRNA from 1 species